rnacentral:rRNA from 1 species
AUACGUAGGGGGCGAGCGUUGUCCGGAAUGAUUGGGCGUAAAGGGCGCGUAGGCGGCCCGGUAAGUCUGGAGUGAAAGUCCUGUUUUUAAGAUGGGAAUUGCUUUGGAUACUGUCGGGCUUGAGUGCAGGAGAGGUAAGUGGAAUUCCCAGUGUAGUGGUGAAAUGCGUAGAGAUUGGGAGGAACACCAGUGGCGAAGGCGACUUACUGGACUGUAACUGACGCUGAGGCGCGAAAGUGUGGGGAGCAAACAGGAUUAGAUACCCUGGUAGUCCACACUGUAAACGAUGAAUGCUAGGUGUAGGGGGUAUCGACCCCUUCUGUGCCGCAGUCAACACAAUAAGCAUUCCGCCUGGGGAGUACGGCCGCAAGGUUGAAACUCAAAGGAAUUGACGGGG